CGAACGGGUGAGUAACGCGUGGGUAACCUGCCUUGUACUGGGGGACAACAGUUAGAAAUGACUGCUAAUACCGCAUAAGCGCACAGUAUCGCAUGAUACAGUGUGAAAAACUCCGGUGGUACAAGAUGGACCCGCGUCUGAUUAGCUAGUUGGUAAGGUAACGGCUUACCAAGGCGACGAUCAGUAGCCGACCUGAGAGGGUGACCGGCCACAUUGGGACUGAGACACGGCCCAA
rnacentral:rRNA from 1 species